AGGAAGCUGCGCGGCCGCCGGCGCUGCACGCCGAGCCGUUGUUGUGGUCCAGCCCCCGACACGUGACUGCGCGGGCCCGGCCCCCGCGCACAGCGCCGCCUCGCCGUGACUCAGCACUCUGUGCCGGCUCAGAGGUAGAAGUCAAUGUCGGAGAGGCUGUUCAGAGUUACUAAAGAUCUGCUUGUCAAGGGAAGCCCUUUAUUAAGCUGGGGAAGCGUGAGUGUGUAAAGAAGAUGGGUAGGAGUCAGCUGGGGAUGAAGUUAAAGAUGUGGGAGUGAGAAAGGAUGCCUUAGAGGCAAGAUCUCUCAGGAGACAUGACUUGAUGGGAUCCAGAGCACACGUAAAGAGUGCCUGCCCCGAAGCUGCAAAGAAAAAUGCCCUGGAUGACUAAUCUGAAAAGACCAGAGGGCAUGGAAAUGACCUGCACGGAAGGGGAGAGGCAGCACAUCCAAAGGAGGGCGUCUGGAGUGUGGAGUUCCAGAGUUUGGAGAUGGCUUGAACAUUGAAAUUAAGAUUCUAGCCUGCUAUGCAACAGCUGGUGCGCAACAACCAGGACCUUUGCUACCCCACAUGGCAUCUUUGUGUGAAUGAGAAAAGCCAGCCGCUGCCUCCAGGGGGUUGCAGCCUGCACCCGCAUGCGUGCCGUGGAGAGCAGAGCACAGGAUGAAUUUCAACCCCUCUCACCCCCCGACUGAGUGUACUUGGGUAGUGGACACUUGCAUAUUAUCUCAAAUCCUCUUGGCCUCACCUCUUAUUCCAGCCACAGCUGCAGUGACUGGUUCUGUGCAGGCGUCAACUAAUUUCACGCAGGUACCCCUGAAUAGUGCCUCCUCUAUCACCCAGCCCUCUCCUCAGGAUAGGGUAACUGAUUGUCUGAAGCUCUGCUUUGGGGGGAACUGACCAUAGGCCUGCUUGUACAACUGUAUGCAUCAGCCCGACUGUAACCUCUGACCCCACCUCCUUUAGAUUAGGCCUUAGAGAGGCUCGUUUGUCUCGGCUGCUUUACGUACUACAGGACCACUUCACAUCUCUGAGUUCCAGCGUUCUCUUUAUAAAAUGAAAAUGAACACAUUUUGAAAGUGUAUUUAAAGUGGGAAGCACUAAAUACCUUUAAUCAUUAAAUAUAAGUCAUGAUUUAUGUUUUCACACCUCACAUCCACUACCACAUAAAUGAAUACUUGGCUUUGUAAAAAGUCAUUUAUACAGAUCACUAGACUCAUGAGAACAGGCAAUGAGUGUUUUAGACUGAGCUGCUGAUUCUAGAGAGAGCUCUUUGCUAAUUCAUCUUUUAAUCUUUAUUGAGGCGGCAGGAUUGUUGAAUUCAGUCACCUGACCUGGCCUCCAUCAUGGCCCUACCUUGCCAGAAGUUCAUGCCAACUCUGAUCCCUUGGUCUGUGUGGUUUGGCCUGCCUGCCUAUGUCCCAUUUUAAGCACCACUCAGUCUAGAUGGGCUUUUGAAAAUUUAUAGAGCCUGAUAGUGCCAAUCCAGUGAGGGCAGCCUUGAUCUGCUCCUCGAGCCCAGCCCCCAGCACCACGCAGAAUUUCACCCUCACUGGAAUCUCUUCUCUGUCGAUACUUCCAUAGCUACUACUUUGUGACACCAAAAAUAAUCUGUAAUUCAUUUAUUGCUAUGUUGGACUUUUAUCUUAUUUUCAGUCUCAGAAGUAGCCUGUCAUUAACAGAU